AGCAAAGGCAAAGGCCAGCAAAGUGUUAAAACGAAAAUCGUCGCACCGUCGAAAAGUCGUCUUCGUGUUGUGUGUGGCUGGCUGGGCUGGCUAUUCGCGCAUCAGGAAAAAUACCGUUCCCGUAUAAUUCCAGUGUAGGUGUGAUCACCCGAAGUGGCGCAACUGAAAAGUGAAAAUAAGCAAACCGAGCAGCAUAUAGUGAAAAGUGAGACAGAGAAGAGUCGUGAUUUCCAGCAGAAGUAGCCGCAACCCCAACCGACAGGAUGCCUCUUUUUGGCAAAUCGCAGAAAAGUCCGCAGGAGCUCGUGAAGGCACUGAAGGAAGCGGUCAACUCGCUGGAACGAGGCGAUAAAAAGGCGGAAAAGGCACAAGAGGACGUCAGUAAAAAUCUGGUUCUUAUCAAAAAUAUGCUGUACGGAACGUCAGACGCAGAACCACAAACGGAAAUUGUGGUGUCCCAGUUAGCACAGGAAUUGUAUAAUAGUAAUCUGCUCUUGCUACUGAUACAGAACCUAAGUCGUAUCGAUUUUGAGGGCAAGAAAGACGUCGCACAGGUGUUCAACAAUGUACUCAGACGACAGAUCGGAACCCGGUCACCUACCGUGGAGUACAUCUGCACAAAGCCAGAAAUCCUGUUCACACUUAUGGCGGGCUACGAACACCAAGAGAUUGCACUUAACUGCGGAACGAUGCUGCGAGAGUGCGCCCGGUACGAGGCGCUCGCCAAAAUCAUGCUCCACUCGGACGAGUUCUUCAACUUCUUCCGCUACGUGGAAGUGUCCACCUUCGACAUCGCUUCGGAUGCCUUCUCGACCUUCAAGGAGCUGCUGACGCGGCACAAAAUCCUGUGCGCCGAGUUCCUGGAGCAGAACUACGACAAAGUGUUCGACCACUACCAGCACCUGCUAAACUCGGAGAACUACGUGACGCGGAGGCAGAGCUUAAAGCUACUCGGCGAGCUGCUGCUGGAUCGACACAACUUCACGGUAAUGACGAAAUACAUCUCCAAUCCAGACAACCUGAAGCUGAUGAUGAAUAUGCUGAAAGAGAAAUCUCGGAAUAUUCAGUUCGAAGCCUUUCACGUGUUUAAGGUGUUUGUAGCGAAUCCGAACAAACCGAAACCGAUUCUCGACAUCCUGCUGCGGAACCAGGAGAAGCUAGUAGACUUCCUAACGAAAUUCCACACGGACCGAUCCGAGGACGAACAGUUCAACGACGAAAAGGCGUACCUAAUCAAACAGAUAAAGGAGCUGAAGCCGGCUCCGGAUCAAUAGUAAUACGCGCGAUGCAAGCUAAACGUUUUUGCAACUACACAAACACGCGCGCACGCAUACAAACACACACACAACCUCCUCACUCCUGCCCCUUGUUUCCCGCAUCCCGCCUGUGAUCCCCCCCCCUGCACUAGUAUUUUGUAAUAAAUCGCAAGUAACAAUAGAAAUGUCUAUAAAUACAAUUCAAACUCUAGUAUAAAAUGAUAAAACUACUAUAGAAGUUAUAAACAAAAUUUUUGGGUCAAUCGUUGAGUCCCCUUGAUAAAAACCGAUAAAACCACAUACACGCAUAUAUAAGCAGAUAAGCAAAACAAAACAAAUGCUAGUAAGUCGAAAGAAGUUAAAAGCUAGUGUUUAUGAUAAAGCAAGAACCUUGCAAAACCUUAGUCCAAGCAAGAGGAGAAAAAAUAAAACAAAAAAUGCAUUACCAGCAGAAGAGUAAUAUAUUUAUUGAGACUAAACAGACUUUCUCGCGGCUGCUAAAACCCGAACUCUAUAUUAACAGUGUAAUAAAAUGUUGUAAAAAUGUAACGAAAUUAAGCUGCGUCGUUUUUGUUUCUUUUCUUGCACAUGUUUAGUCUCUGGAUGGAAGCAUCAAAACUUUAAUUGUGAGGAUUCUUAUAGAAUGGAUUUCCAAGAAGCAGAACAUUAAUGCGAACUAUAAAUUGUGUUUUCUUUAUGUUUCAACUUUUAUUUGUUUGUUUUUUUUUGCGCCUUUUUGCUGUUGUAGUUUUGGUAACUCACUUGCUUUGUGAGUGAGGGUUAGGUUGAUAGGUGGUAGAAGAGGCACUAGAGGAGGACAAACUACUCUGAAGUAUGUUUUAGUUUUAUUGCUACUUUUAAGUAUGUGGUUCUAGCUUGUGCCCUGUUCAUUUUUUUCUGUUAUUAUCUGAAGUCAGAUGAUGUGUAUUGAAAAAUAUAAAAGUGUUUGAUUAUUUUAGAAGAAAAUAGAAUUUUCUAUUAUCCCUUAGGUUAUAACAUUACGUUGAUGUUGCCACGCCUCCAUUAAUUCUUUAACAUUUAGCAUAAACACACACUCACCUACAUACACAAUCUUCGUUGAUCACCUCCAUACCUCAUUAGUUCUCUAUAGAGAGGUACGACGAAAAAACGUAAAUUCUCCCCGCUAUUCACUAGUAAGAGAUCCAUCACAGCUCUCGAGCGAUUAGGUUUUAGACGUUCAUAAAAGGGCUAUUAUACUCUAGGACUAGAAAAGCUUAUGUUUUGUGUACUUUUUGAGACUUAAUAAAACUAGAAAAGUGAUGUAAGCUAUGGUCUUUGAGCUAUCCAAGAUCAUGGUGUUCGCCACGCAACAAGAUUCCGUUCAAUUUAGGCACGACACACAUGCAAGUCACUGAGAAACGAUUCUGAAAACUGUUCCUAAUACGAGGUGAAAUAUGGAUGUCUAUAGGAGUAGUAUCUCUACAACACAUACAAGAAGUAAAGCCACACAAGGCGCAUGCGGAAUGUAGGUGAUGGAAUAAUACCCUUUGUAGAGAAGAAGUCAUCACUCCUAGAUGCUGCUGAAAAUGCAAUAACAUGUAAUGAUUCGUUUAGUUUGAUGUACACUGAGUAGCAAUUGUGGAUUGUGGAAUAAAUGUACUUCUCUUGAUUACCUGCGUGAAGCCAAUCGUUUCCCUCUAAGCUUUUUUUUAUUGAUGGCCUUUAUACUUUUCGUUAGUGCACUAAAUUUCAACCUCCAAAAAACAGAAUAAGAAUUUUCUAGAGAUUGGAUGUGGUUCCAAUCCCUCUAAUGGGCAAACAACUUUUCAAAC